CCGAGUUUACAACUCCCAAACCCCUGUGAACAUACCAAUUGUUGCCUCGGCGGAUCAGCCCGCUCCCGGUAAAACGGGACGGCCCGCCAGAGGACCCCUAAACUCUGUUUCUAUAUGUAACUUCUGAGUAAGACCAUAAAUAAAUCA
rnacentral:misc_RNA from 1 species